rnacentral:lncRNA from 1 species
CAGACAAACAGCCAACUCUGGUUUCCCUCAGUGUUUCCAGUCAAUGAGGAAAAGAGAAGUGGAAAGAAUUUCCAGAAGAGAGGCGAGGGAGGAAAUUCAGAGUCUUGUCACAAGUGAGAGAAGCCCCCGUGGAACUGGAUGACGACUGCUGUGGAGCUCCAUGAACUUCGCAGUGUCCUUGCCCUUUGCUGUGACCACACAACUUUCUGAGCAGAGCAGGAACGGGUAUGGAGAACCCCAGACACCAGACACAGCAGCCUCUGGCUAUGAAAAUUUCUUGUCCUCCUUCCAAGAUGUUGGACUUCGAGAACCCUGAAAUCUCCCCCUGAAGGGACAGAAGAAUAAAUUUAUGACACCCAAAGCGUUAUUCUAGUUGAUGUCCAGGGCACAGUUCCUCUUUCUGGCAACUGCCACGCAGCGCGAAGUGAAGGCCCUGCAGAGUUUCCGCUUGUAUCACCCACAGGGGCUGAGGAGCUGGAGGAAAUCUAUGCAAAAAGUUC